GUGAAUCAUCAAAUUUUUGAACGCAAAUUGCGCCUUUUUCGGAAGGCAUGUCUGUUUGAGGGCACCAUUUAACAAAUAAUGUGCAGCGUUUUUUGUUGCACACGUUGAGGAUCUUUCCAAGUAUUUUAAAUUUUUGGUUGCGCAUAAUGGACAGCGUGAAAGUUUUUUUCAGUUCGAGUGGAGUAAAAUCUUUGCGGGGGUUGUGAAAAAAGAUAGUCCCU
rnacentral:misc_RNA from 1 species